UACAGAGGGGGCAAGCGUUAUUCGGAAUUAUUGGGCGUAAAGGGCGCGUAGGCGGCUUUGCAAGUGACGGGUGAAAUCCCUCGGCUUAACCGAGGAACUGCCUGUCAGACUGCAUGGCUUGAGACCGGGAGAGGUGAGUGGAAUUCCCAGUGUAGCGGUGAAAUGCGUAGAUAUUGGGAGGAACACCAGUAGCGAAGGCGGCUCACUGGACCGGUACUGACGCUGAUGCGCGAAAGCGUGGGGAGCAAACAGG
rnacentral:rRNA from 1 species